ensembl:lncRNA
AACUUUCUUUGUCUUUUUUAUUUUAGUUCCCAGAACGUUCUCUCAAAUGUUAGGAUAACAUUCUUUAAAAACAUUCUAAAAAGUUUUAGUAAUAACAUUGUUAGAUCAUCAUUCCCUAACAUUCUUACAAAGUUUUUAGCGGGUAUUUUUUUUUUUAGUUCCCAGAAUGUUCUCUCAAAUGUAAGGAUAACAUUCUCUAAAAACAUUCUAAAACUGUUUAGUAAUAACAUUGUUAGAACAUCAUUCCCUAACAUUCUUACAAAGUUUUUAGCGGGUAGUUUUAUUUUAGUUCCCAGAACGUUCUCUCAAAAGACAGUAUAACAUUCCCUAGAAACAUUCUAAAAUUGUUUAGUGACAACAUUGUUAAAACAGAACUCCGUAACAUUCUUAAAAAGUUUUUAGCACAUAGUUUUAUUUUUGUUCCCAGAACAUUAUUCUAUAAGACAAAAUAACAUUCUCUAAAAACAUUCUUAAAUUGUUUAGUGACAACAUUGUUAGAACAGUAUUCUGUAACAUUCUUAUAAAGUUUUUAGCAGGUAGUUUUAUUUUUGGUCCCAGAACAUUUUCCUAUAAGAUAGGAUAACAUUCUCUUCCAACAUUCUAAAAAUGUUUAGUGAUAACAUUGUUAGAUCAUCAUUCCCUAACAUUCUUACAAAGUUUUUAGCUUUAUUUUUGUUCUCAGAACGUUCUUAUAAAAGGUAGGAUGACAUGCUCUAAAAACACGCUAAAAACUUCUGUGGUGACCUUCUUCACAUGUUUAGUCAUAACAUUAUCCCUUUAAAUUCUUAUAAAGUUUUUAGCAGGAAGUUUUUUUUGUUCCCAGAAUCCUAAACACUCAAAAAAAAAAAAAUGCUUAGCUAUUAAAUUCUUAAAGCAUACAAUUUAAUAACCUAAAAAAAUAACAACAUCAAAAUCUAACUCAGCAUCACGUGUUGAAGAACUCAGAAAAGUGCAGUGCAUAAUCAAGCUUCUGACUGUUGUUUGCUCAGAGAGCGCAUCAUUGUCUUUGCUUGUUGUGGUUCUUGUAGAAGAUAAUACAGUCCUCUGUAUUAAUAGUUGUUCAACUGUUCUUCUCCAGUUUUCCAGCUGCUCUCCCAGUUAGCAGCACUGAGCUCUA